CCUACGGGAGGCAGCAGUGAGGAAUAUUGGUCAAUGGACGGAAGUCUGAACCAGCCAAGCCGCGUGCCGGAAGACGGCUCUAUGAGUUGUAAACUUCUUUUGUACAAGAGUAAAGCUUAAGACGUGUACUCAGUUGUAUGUACUUUACGAAUAAGGAUCGGCUAACUCCGUGCCAGCAGCCGCGGUAAUACGGAGGAGCCGAGCGUUAUCCGGAUUUAUUGGGUUUAAAGGGUGCGUAGGCGGAUUGUUAAGUUAGCGGUGAAAUGUCGGGGCUUAACCCUGGAACUGCCUGUGAUACUGGUGGUCUAGAGGAUAGAUGCGGUAGGCGGAAUGCAUGGUGUAGCGGUGAAAUGCUUAGAGAUCACGCAGAACCCCGAUUGCGAAGGCAGCUUACCAAUCCAUAUCUGACGUUGAGGCACGAAAGCGUGGGGAGCAAACAGGAUUAGAUACCCGGGUAGUC
rnacentral:rRNA from 1 species